rnacentral:rRNA from 1 species
GACGAACGCUGGCGGCGUGCCUAACACAUGCAAGUCGAGCGGGGUUGAAGCGAGGGGUAACUCGAGUUUCUACCUAGCGGCGGACGGGUGAGUAACGCGUGGGCAACCUGCCUCAAGGACUGGGAUAACAGCUCGAAAGGGCUGCUAAUACCGGAUAAGCCUAUGGCCUCGCAUGGGGCCAUGAGCAAAGGGGAAACCCGCCUUGAGAUGGGCCCGCGUCCCAUCAGCUAGUUGGUGAGGUGAAGGCUCACCAAGGCGACGACGGGUAGCCGGCCUGAGAGGGUGACCGGCCACACUGGGACUGAGACACGGCCCAGACUCCUACGGGGGGCAGCAGUGGGGAAUCUUGCACAAUGGGCGAAAGCCUGAUGCAGCGACGCCGCGUGAGCGAAGAAGGGCCCUUCGGGUUGUAAGGUACUCUCGUCGUGGAGGGACGGAAGGAAGGUAGGACGGGUAACCCGUCCCGGACGGGAAGGACCCACGGCCGUAACCUAACCGUUCGCCGACGCAGACCGCCGGUAAACCGUAAGACGUCG